rnacentral:lncRNA from 1 species
CUGGAAUUUGCAGAAGUUGUUUCAAACUGUGCCAGUUUGCAACAGCAGGUUUUGUUUUUGUGUGGUGUGAAGUCAGACUGCAAGCAGAAACUGUUCUAAUAAUAUUUGUUCUCCUGUGCUGUAUUUUGUUUAGAUUGACCUACUGGUCCCUACAAAAGUCACUGGCAUAAUUACUCAAGGAGCUAAAGACUUUGGUCACGUCCAGUUUGUGGGAUCCUACAAGCUUGCCUACAGUAAUGAUGGGGAACACUGGAUCAUAUACCAGGAUGAAAAACAAAAGAAGGAUAAGGUUUUCCAAGGAAAUUUUGACAAUGACACACACCGGAAGAACGUCAUUGACCCUCCGAUCUACGCCCGGCACAUCCGCAUCAUCCCGUGGUCAUGGUACGGCCGAAUCACCCUGCGGUCAGAGCUGCUGGGCUGCACGGAGGAGGACUGAGGUGGGGUUCCCCUGGGCAUCACAGUCCUUGGUACACCUACCAGUCCCUUUGUAGAAGAAACUGUGCAAAGCCUGUAGGAAGCUGAGUGGGUUUUUCAUGACAAGUGCUCAUUUUAUGGUAGGCCGCUAACUGUCUUUCGCAAGGAGGUCUAAGCCUGCCCGUUAAAUGCUCCAAUCCGAUUUUGUCCUUGAAAUAUGUUAGUGUUGUCCCUUUUGCUGUGGCAUUAUCUUUCUAGCUCUCCUUUAAUUUGUUCACACUAGUUGAAAUGUGUUAGGGAAAAACAGCAGCAUCCUUUUUACAAGGGAAGAGAAAGAGCACGACAAAGCUCAUUUGCAGCUUCAGUAACAUUAGGCUGACGAGUUCUCCAUAAAUCAUACUGUCAUCUUACUUGCAAAAAGUGAUACUGCAGCUUUUAGCAAUAAGUUUACUUGGGGAUGACUGCAUUAUAGUAAUUGUGCCUAUCAAACACUGUCACUAUUUAUGACAUAUAUUUUGGAAAAUACUUUGUGGUACCAUAAAAUACAGUACCUGUGAUAUUACAAGCUACCUUUCAUUAUUCUUAUCUAAACAGCAGAGUCCAUUCACCUAAAGUGUUUUCCUAGCUAGCCCCAUUUUCCUUCUCAGUUUUGCAUGUUACAGACAUAAACUUCAUUCUUUCUGUUCAGUAUCACUGUUAGUGUUAUUUUAUUUGAAAGACCUGUCUGUAUAUGGGACAAAAUUUGCUGUCAGUACAUUAUGAAGUUAAUGAAUUUGCCAAAGUAUAUUAAUUCUGCUUGAAUGGUGUUUUUGCAAGGAGGUUGAGAUGAGAUAGGGAGGUACUUGCGGUUCUUUGUCCUCAGUACAUGCAAAGGUAAAGUCAUGGUGCACAGCAUAAAUCCUGAACUCAUUGCAUGACUUACCCAGGAGUGAAAAGCCCUAGAUGGAGCUUUCCAUCUUACUUCUUCCUUCAGAAACCUCCUGAAUUUCUUCAAGGAGACACGUAUGAAGGAGUGAGGUGCCAUGAAGCACACGAAAGGAAUGACCUUCUUGCCACUGGGAAAUCCUUUUGCUAGGC